UAGGGAAUAUUGGACAAUGGGGGCGACCCUGAUCCAGCCAUGCCGCGUGAGUGAAGAAGGCCCUCGGGUUGUAAAGCUCUUUUGUCCGGAAAGAAAAGCAUUCGGUGAAUACCCGGAUGUUCUGACGGUACCGGAAGAAUAAGCACCGGCUAACUUCGUGCCAGCAGCCGCGGUAAUACGAAGGGUGCAAGCGUUACUCGGAAUUACUGGGCGUAAAGCGUGCGUAGGUGGUUGUUUAAGGCUGAUGUGAGAGCCCUGGGCUCAACCUGGGAAUGGCAUUGGAAGCUGGGCAGCUAGAGUGCGGUAGAGGGUAGUGGAAUUCCCGCUGUAGCAGUGAAAUGCGUAGAGAUCGGGAGGAACAUCUGUGGCGAAGGCGACUGCCAGGACCAGCACUGACACUGAGGCACGAAAGCGUGGGGAGCAAACA
rnacentral:rRNA from 1 species